GGUGACAAUCUAAAGAUGAACUUUUCUCCAGGCUUAGUGACUGUAACACUCUUACUGCUUGGAAAAAUCCGUGGAGACUCAGUGACUCAGAUGGAAGGCCAAGUGGUCCUCUCAGAAGGGACUUUCCUCACUAUAAACUGCACUUACACAUCCACAACGUACCCAACUCUUUUCUGGUAUGUCCAAUAUCCUGGAGAAGGUCCACAGCUCCUUCUGAAAGCUGCAAAGGCCAACGAAAAGGGAAGCAACAAAGGCUUUGAAGCCACAUACAAAAAGGAAACCACCUCCUUCCACUUGGAGAAAGCCUCAGUCCAAGAGUCAGAUUCAGCUCUGUACUACUGUGUUCUGGGUGACACAGUGACAAAAACUGCAGGGGGAGCUGAGCACAAACUCUGA